GACACCAAGUGACUGAAAAGCCCUCUUUGUGGCUGCAUCAGCAUUAAGGCUGGAAAAAAAUCCCAAACCAAACCGAAAAUUUUGGUAUGGGAUUCGGUUUUGCAUUUCAUUUUUUCGGUAUUCCCAUACCGAACCGAAAAAGAAAAAAAAAAAAUAUAUAUAUAUAUAUAAUUUUUUUAAUUAUAAGAAAAUUAUUUGAACCGUUCAUUGUUUUAGAUUUAAUCUGUGCCGUUGAUUUGUUUUAGGUCAUAUCCCAUUUCUUUCUUUCACAGCUCCGUUCCAUUUCCCUGAUUCCAUCCAUCAAACUCCAAGCCCCUGCGCCUCCUCCCUCACCGAGCCCUCAUCUCUCAUCUGUCUGUGUCGAAUUCCGGCCAACCACCGGCCCACCACCACACCACAUAGCCUUCCUUCACCACACAGCCACCGCUCUCUCUCACAAUCUCUCUCGGGCGAUUUUCUCUCGCGAUCUCUCUCACCACCACACCGAGUCCAAGUCUCACUCUCACCCCAAAUUAGGUAAUUAAUUUAGUGUUUUGAAAUCUAAUUUCUGUUGGUAGAUUCUGCUUUGAAGUUUUCAAAUGGUUUUAAGAUUUAAUUUUUGGUAUGUAUUGUUUAGCAGCUCUGUUUUCGUAACCUGAGAAAGAAAAGGAAGCAGCUCUGAUUGAGGCUAGGCGUAAGGAGGUACUAUUUAGGCUACCAUGUUUCCUCCGAAAUCUCAUUUUCUAUUGUUACAGAGGCACACUUAAGAGUCAUGGUUUGCUUUUACCAUUUGGGAUUGUUGGAUGCACAUCUUCUGUUUUCUUGAAAAUACUAUUGUUGUUAUUGUUACCAUUCGUCUUUAUAGUUAUUACUGUUAGGAACAACUGCUCUGUUCGGGGAAAAGUAAAAUAGCAGAUAAGGUAUAAGUACACACAAUAAGUGUCGUUAAGAUAAUAGUAAAUCAUUAAUAAUAUAUUGUUCCUCUUAGAUAAUGUGUGUUUGUUCCUCUUAGAUAAUAUUUAAUCUUUUUUGUUUUCUUCCUCUGAAUCUACAUUGUUUUAAUUGUGGAUCAUCCAAUGAUCUAUUAAUUGGAGAAUAGAUAAUUGAUGUUAUUUCCUAUAGUUCAAUUUUGCAAUUUAGCUAAUUGCUCUAGCGUAAAUGCUUUGUUCAAUGAUAACUAUGGGUGGGCUGAAGGUAUUCGUGCAAUUUACAAUCCAAAUUGCAGCUUCGUGUCUAAUUGGGUUGUAGUUAAGAUUUUUCCUCUAGCUAUUUAUCAAUGGUGGGUCUUGGGGAGUGCAGCUUCGUGCAAUUUACACUGAUCUCCCAUAUGUUUCUUACUUCCAGUUUAAAACUGGGUUUUUGGGUGCCGAGGAAGGUAACUGGAGAAAAUUAAAAUGGGGUACAUUUUUUUUGUCCAAAAGCCCAAAAGCCCAAAACUAUUUCAGGAUUCCCGAUUUGUCCCGAAAUCCCGAAACUAUUUCGGGAUUCCCAAAAAUUGGGAUUCCUGAAAAUUUGGUUUGGGAUCGGUAUUGAAAUUGGGAUUCCCGAAAAUUUCGGUUUGGGAAUCGGGACAAGAGUUUCGGUAUGGGAUCCCAUACCGAACCACCCCUAAUCAGCAUGCCUCUCUAAGUUUUUGCUCAAAAGCUUUCAAGGAAGCCAUAACUUCUUGUGCAUCCAGUGUGUCAGUGUCAUUAGUUUCCUCUAUAACAUUCACCAUAGAAUCAUAGGAUCUUGUCAAACUGAUUAAUAAUUAUGUACAAGUCUCUCCUUAUGUAGUUCUUCACCCAAAGUUUUCAUUUGAUUCACAACAUCAAACAACCUAGUAAAAUAAUCGUUAAGGGAUUCAUCUUCUCUCAUGCAUGUGUACUCAAAAUCACGUCUAAGAGAUUGAAGCUUUACUUGGGUUACCUUCUUGUCACCUCUGUAUUUUGUCUGAAGAACUUCCCAAGCAGCUUUGGAUGACACUUCAUUUGAUAUUCUGGGUAAAAUGGCAUCUAAAACUGCUCCUUGUAUUAUUCCCAGCUCCUUGGCAUCUCUCAUCACAUUAUCUUUUAGAAUUGUCUUUCGAAUCACAUAGCUCUUCAUCAUCAUUUGACUCAUCAUCUGAAUUUGGAGCUUCAUACCCUUCUUGAACCAUUUUCCAGAGAUCUUGUGACUUAUGGUGGCCAUUUUAAUCCUCCAAAAGUCAUAGUUCUCACCAUUAAAAAUGGGAGCUCUAAGCUCACUGCUGCUUAAUCUAGACAUCUCUUCAUUCUUGAAUCACUUUCUAGGGUUUCAAAUACUCGAAAUCUCCCCUAAAAGAAUGGUUUUCACAACUCCCGGUUGGUUUAAUCCAACCUAGGCUCUGAUGCCAUGUUAAUGUUUUGUAGUUUUGUAUGUAUUUGGUAAGGAAUUUUAGUGAGGGUUUUGACAUAGAAUGAGAAUGUAAGAGAGAGCAGUGGCGAAGCCAAUAAUUUUCAAGGGGAGGGGCAAAAUUAAAAGAGUGCAAGGGUAAAAAAUGGCAACAACCAAAUUCUUUUAUAUAGUAAUGUCGUCCAUAAUUUACCAAUACUAAUAAUGGGAAGGUGGAAUAUUCAAAGGAGGACUAGCCGGAAUAUUUGAAGGAGAAUUUAAGCAUUGUUUCUUAUUGUAUCAUUUCAUUACGUAAUUGUAUAAUGGGAAAAAAAGUCUUAAUACUCUUAAUCCUAGAGUAAACUAUACUAUAUGACUAUUAAGUAAUUAAACCAACAAUUCAAUUAAUAAAUACCAAUAAUCAUAUAAAUUAUUCCAAAAACAAGAAUUCAAUCAAUAUCAAUAAUUAAUUAAGGGUAAAUUAUAUUUUACCACCUCAGGUUUGAGGUCUAUUGCAACCUCGUACAACAUCUUCAAAACAUUUCAUUUUCAUACCUCAAGUACUAUUUUAUUUCAAUAUAAUAUAUCCGUUACAUUUUCCAUCUAUUGGUCCGUUAAGAGCUGAAGUGACUACUAGAGUUGUGCCACAUGGCAAAAAAAAUAUUUUUUUAUGCAUUUAAAAUAUUAUAAUAAUUUACCUAUUAAAAAAAACCCCAUAAAUCCUUCCUCUCAACCCAAAUCCCCCAUCCCUUCCCCCUAAUCCUUUCUUCUCCUUCCCCUCCUCCGAUGCCCCUCCCUUUGGCUCCAGUGGAUUUCCACUCCUCUUCUCCUCCUCAGCCUCCGCUCAUUCUAACUCCCUUGCCAAUCUCGCUGAUGAUCUAUCCUCCCUCUUCGAUGGUGCACCCUCACACUCCUCACCCUUUCAGGACCCCGACGCCUUCAACCCCUUCAAUUUGGGUUUUUACGAGCUUGAAUCGCAAAGAGAGAAGAUUAGGGUUUGAAUCGCAAAGAAGGAGAGGGGGAAGCUUCAGGUUUGGGGGUGAAGGUAGGGGGACGGAUGGAAGGGGAAGGAAUUAGGAAGCAAAAGUGGUUUUGGUGGUGAAGAAGAGAGUGGAGGAGAGGGAGAAGGUGGGAUGGGGGGUUGCUGGGGAGAUGGGGGUGGGGCAUCAAAUUUCAAUGCCCAGAAUAUGGUCCAACAUGCCAACCAUAAUUUCCACAUUGCCAAAGCUACGAAUCUUCCUAAAGUGUUUGCUAAUAAGGGCAUAAAAUUGGUAUGAAAAGGAACCCAAUUUUCGUUCUAUCUUGUUUCCAAAAAUCUAUAAUUUUUCUAUGCAAUUUGAGACAUACUUGCAUACAAAAUUGAAAGGAUUGCUACUAGUACUAAGCCAAAACAUAUUGAGAGGGAGAGAGAGGUAGCUUACGGAAAGAGAGGUGGUAUUGGGAGUCGGUGAGGCGGUGGAAGUUUGAAAGCCGGGAGCUUAAAGCACUGGUCGAGGCCAUUGAUGGAGGGGGGGAGAGAGAGACGAAGGAGAUAGAAGAAGCGAAAAAGUACAAGUUAGGGUGGGGCGGAGGAGAGGGAGUGGGUUGAGGGGAAUGGUUUCUGGGCUCGGGUGGGAUUUUUGGGCGUGGCGGCGGUCUCCUGGAAGGUGAGGGUGGGGUGGGGUGGGGUGGGGGUUGUAGGGGAGGUGGGAUGGGGUGUUUGUGUUGUAAGGAAGGGGGAGGUCAUGAGGAAGAAGAUGGUUCUUUUAUUUUUAUUUUAUUUUUAAAUAGGGUAAAUAUUAUAAUAUUUUAAAUGCAUAAAAAAAUUAUUUUUUUACCACAUGGCACAAAUUUGGCAGCCACAUCAACACAAAUUUGAUCCCAUAUUUGCCACAUCAUUUAACGGAUGUAUGAAAUUGAAAUAAAAUGAUAAGUAAAUGUAUGAAAUUGAAAUGUUUUAAAGAUAUUGUAAGGAAUUGAAAUUGACCUCAAACCUGAAGGGAUAAAAUGUAAUUUAUCCAUUAAUUAAUCAAUAAUCAAGAAUUCAGUUUCUACCCUAAACAACAAUUUCAUUCAGGGCUGGUUUGAUAUGGGAUACCAAACCAAAAAUGGCAUACCAAAUCCCAAAUCGAAAAUUUUCGGGACAAGAAUUUGACGAUUGAUCCCAAACCAAAACUUCGGGAUUCCCGAAAUAUUUUCAGUAUUUUGGGAUUUCCCAAAACUGAACCUGCAUCAAAAUCCAAAUCAUCUAGAUUGAAAUUGAAAUCAUCUGAACCUACAUUAAAAACCCAAAUUGAAAUAAGAAAGAGUGACAGUGAAUCAGUGGUCGAGAGAGAGACAAAGUGAAGAUAUAGUCAGACGGACCUGCGUCCUCCUCCUGACUCGAGCCCCCAUUUUGAAACCCUAACCUUAAUUCGAAACCCCACACACAGAGACUAGAGAUAAUCGAUGGUGGGGGAUGAAGCCGUGAGGUGUGGUGGUGGUUGGAGUAAAGGGAGUUCGUCGGAGUCAAAUUGUGAGAGGGUAGGUGGUUGCUGAACUUUGAAUUCGAGAAGGAGAGACAGAGAGAUAUAGAUAGUUUGAGACUGAGUGAACUUAAGGCUUGAAGGUUUAAGUCCUUCAAACAAAGCCAAACUCUUGGUGAGGAUCGACGAUGUUAUCACCUGAGCUGCUAUCAUUCUUGCAAGGUGUUUUUUAGUGAGGGAUGAGAAGUCGAGAGAGAGAUCAGGGUGAGUUACUUGUGUGAUGUGGCCGGAUUCGAAGACGGCAAAUAAGGAGGAGGAGAGAGAUCGAGAGAAAUCGGCGAGGAUGGGAAAGUAGGGUGAGGUGAGGUCGAGAGAGAGUGAUUGAGUGAGGGUUUUAUUUGGAUUCAACGGUUGAGAUUAAAUCUCAACCAAAUCCGACGGGUGUUAAAAUUUCAAAUAUAUAUUUAAAAUAAAAUAAUAUAUAUAUUUUUUUAUUUUGGAUUGGUUCGGGAUUACCGAAUGAAUGAAAAUGUGAGACCAAUUCCUAUACCAAAAUUUCUGGAUCGGUUUGAGAUUGGGUACUGAAAUUUUUGAGAUUUUUGGUUUGAGAUUUUUUUGGUUCGGUUUCGGGAUUUUUUCGGUUUGGUUUGAAAUUUUUGGUAUUUUUUUCCACCCCUAAUUUCAUUCAUCAAUAAUCAUUCGUAUGAUUUAUAUCUCUAAUUAAUAAUCAAUAACUAUAUUAGUGUAUUACUCUAUGAUUCUAUAUUAAUUAAACAAAAUUUCGUAUUAUUUAAUCAAUUAGAGUUAGGAAUAUAUAAAUUUAGAAAUUAAAAAUUUGGGAGGUGCAAAACGCACCUCUGUGCUUUCUGAUUGGUUUUCAAACGGGGGUGGGAUUGAAUGGUGUGAAUGCAAAGAGGUGAUGGGGACCAGUGGCCUCCACUUUAAUUUUUUUGUAUUCAACUAAAUGAAACUUCAGCAUUGCCUAUGAAAUAUUUUAAAAAUUUUCUAAUCACUAACCGAAAUGGCUUCAUCUAACUUAAGCAUUUUCCAAAAAAAAAAUUAAAACACUCUGCUACAUAGCAGCAACAAAAACCCUAAUAGCACGCUGAGCACCAUCACUUCCGGCCGGACCAAAGGGGCGGAACCACCGCUCCUAGGCUUGAUUUCCGGCGAAGGGAGGGGCAACUUGCCCCUGUGUUGCUUCGCCACUGAGAGAGAGUGAUGGCUGCUAACAUUGCCGCAUCAUACUUUCAUUUAUAUAUAUAUCAUCAAAGUAGUAGGGUUUUGGUCCCAUACUACAGUCAUCAAUCUUAUCUCCAUUGAGGAUAACAUUGUGUAGACAUCGAAAUUUCGGUAAAUAAAUGUUGACCGAUAAAUCAAAGUUUCAACGCUCAUGUAUUACAUAAAUUUUACACGUAGCGUGCGACUCAACGAAAAUUGAAAUGAGUUGGAAAAGUCAUCAAAUAGGACACGUGUCAACACCUGGCAGAAACAACUUAUUUCAUCUGGGAUAUUAUAUUCAAAAUUAGGCCUUGAAAAAUUCUAUAAAUACAAGCCCAUUUCAUUCAUUUGGGGGAACCAAAAUCAUUAGGCAAAAUUCUUGAAGCUCUGAAACUCUGAAACUCCGAAGCUCUCAAGCAUCCAGGUUCCCGAAGAAUCAAGAAAGCUCUUUUCGUUCUUCGUUCUUCGUUUAUCGUUCAUCCUAAGAUCAAGCCUCAACGGCCAUUUGGAUCAACAAUCAUCCACCAAUUCAAGAUCAAGCCCCGACGGCCCUUGAAGAAAGUGUUCUUUUCGUUCUUCGUUCUUCGUUCAUCGUUUAUCCUAAGAUCAAGCCUCAACGGCCCUUUGGAUCAACAAUCAUCCACCAAUUCAAGAUCAAGCCCCGACGGCCCUUGAAGAAAGUGUUCUUCGUUCUUCGUUCAUCGUUCUUCCAAGAUCAAGCCCUGACGGCCCUUGGAUAAUACAUCCACCAAUUCAAGAUCAAGCCCCAAAGGCCCUUGAAGAACUUCCACCAAUUCAAGAUCAAGCCCCGACGACCCUUGAAGAAAGCACCAUCGUUCAUCAUCCGUUCGUCCAAGAUCAAGCCCCAACGGCCCUUUGGAUCAACAACAUCAACGAAUCCACACAGCCACCGUUCUUCAAGAUCAAGCCCAAAAGCCCUUGAAGAUUCGUUCAUCACCGUUAUUCAAGAUCAAGCCUCAACGGCCCUUGAAGAAACACUCAUCCUCAAGAUCAAGCCCCCAACGGCUCCUUGAAGAUCCGCUCAAAUCCACCUUCAAAGAUCAAGCCCACGGCCCAUUUCAACAGUUCAUCCAAAAUCAAGCCUCCACGGCCCUUGGAUCAAUCAAAUAUCCAUAAAUCAAAACCUUACGGAGAUCGAAUCAGAGGAUCAAAAUAGAGAGAGAUUGUAACCCAAAAUCAUCAAAUACAAAUAUUUGUUUGUGCACGUUGUUCUUGUCGUUUUCGUUUCAGGAAUUUUCCGUGUUCACAAAUUGGCACGCCCAGUGGGACAAUCUCUACCUCUCAUCUUUUUCUCCAUUCAAGAAAUUCGAGCACACUUCCAAAAUUAAUGGCAUCAAGGAAGGCUCAAACUGUUCCCGCAACUGGCGCAAAGAACAAGAGCGUCCUCGUCGCAAGUGGUGUCACUUUAGGCAUCACGACUCGAAGCAAGGCAAGAACUACUUCUGCCGCCUCUUUCACCUCUGCAUCAACUCUGCCAAGGGAACAAGAGCACCCAAGGCACGAGCCUUUGAUCACCUUAGCCUCACCAAAGGCACCAAGGGGCGAAAGUCCAAGGAAAUACUCCGAAUCCAUGCUCUCCGAUGCCGAUUCGAGCGGCAGUUCAGCCAUGCAAGUCAUGACCAUUGGAGCAACUUUAAUCGAUGAGUAGCUGGCUCAAAUGAAUGAAGCAAUCGUAAGGCUAACCCGAACUGUGGAAGAAAAAGACUUGCAAAUCGCUGCAUUCGUCAGCCGACUGGAGCCACAGGACGGCGAUAACCCUAACUCAGAAGAGGAGCCUCCGGUGGAGAAUAUCGAUAUGAAGCCGGAGCCAGACCAAGCAGCAGCACUCAUGGGAUCUCUUUCUAUCCAGCAACUGCAGGAGAUGAUCGCCAGCACCGUCAAGGCAUAGUACGAAGGGAGCUCAAAUACCUCCGGGUUGUACUCAAAGCCCUAUUCAAAGAAGAUUGAUGCCCUAAAGAUGCCGAGGGGAUAUCAACCACCAAAGUUCAUGCAGUUUGAUGGAAAAGGAAACCUAAAGCAGCACGUUGCACAUUUCGUUGAAACUUGCAACAAUGCGGGGACGGAUGGAGACUACCUCGCCAAGCAGUUUGUGCGCUCGCUGAAAGGAAACGCCUUUGAGUGGUACACGGACUUAGAGCCUGAGUCCAUCAACAGCUGGGAACAGUUGGAAAGGGAAUUCCUCAACCGCUUCUACAUCACCCGCCGCACUGUGAGCAUGCUAGAGCUAACAAACACAAAGCAAUGGAAAGAUGAGCCAAUCAUUGACUACAUCAACAGAUGGCGAACUAUAAGCCUCGACUGUAAAGACAGGCUCUCGGAAACCUCUUCAAUCGAGAUGUGUAUCCAAGGCAUGCAAUGGGGUUUGCAAUACAUCCUUCAAGGUAUCAAACCACGGACCUUCGAAGAGCUAGCCACCCGCGCCCAUGACAUGGAGUUAAGCAUCUCCCAUCAUGGGAAGAAGGAACCGAUCGCCGACUACAAGAACGACAAAGUUCUUGAGACAAAGGUGGAGAAGGCUACGUGGAAAUCCACCAAGGAAGCAAUGACGGUCAACACAUCUCCCGUCAAAAUCUUCACACGAGGCAAGGUGAUUCAAACCGAAGCUUUUCGUGAUCAAGAGAUGCGUAGACGCACUUUGAAGGAGCUUGAGGAGAAGACUUAUCCAUUCCUCGACUCUGAUGUGGUUGCCAUGUUAGAAGACUUGCUGGAAAAGAAGGUGAUCGGCUUGCCUGAGUGCAGACGGCCAGAAGAGAUGAAUCGCACCGACAGUCCAAGGUACUGUAAAUUCCACCGCUUCAUCAGUCAUCCGACAGAAAAGUGCUUCGUGCUGAAAGAUCUCAUCAUGAAGUUGGCUCAGAAAGGAAUCAUCGAGCUAGAUCUUUACGAUGUGGUGAAGUCAAACUAUACCACCAUCACUUAUGGCUCUUUCGACACAAAGUUUUCACCUCAACAGCUGAGGGCAUCCUCCAAGACAAGCAAAGUUGAAGGAUGGACUCAAGUCACUCCUAAGAAAUUGCACAAGAAGCAUACGUCCUCCACAAGUCCGCCAAUCGGAAAGGGGGCAAAGCAGCUCUUGUCAACCUUCAAAGCAACGUGAACGUGUUGAAGAUGAUGAAAUUUCGACACAUAGAUCGUCCAUCCCCAUCACGAUGCGUGAUUUCUUGCCUGAAGACUUCUUCAAUCACGCGGUCAAAGCUCCUUGCUAUGAAAAUUAUGAGGAACGCCUCUCCCGGAUUGCUUGACAAAAUUCACAAAUUCUCCUCGCCCGCACGAGUCUAAACUGCAUGGCACAAAGCUCCUGGUCUGUACGAGCAUAAAAGGCAACAUCAACGCUCCUGGUCUGCACGAGCAUAAAAGGCAACACCAAAUGCUCCUUGUUCGCAUGAGCCUAAACUGCACGAACCAAACGCUCCUGGUUUGCACGAGCAUAAAAGGCAACACCAAAACGCUCCUUGCCUGCACGAGCUGAAACUGCAACACAGCACCAAAUGCUCCUGGUCUGCACGAGCAUAAAAGGCAACAUCAACACUCCUGGUGUGCACGAGUUUAAAAGGCGACACAACAUGCUCCUGGCCCGCAAGAGCAUAAAUUGCGUACGGCACCAAAAAAAAAAAUGUAUUUGAACUACGUUACGACUUGAUCUCUUCUUUGGAGGGGUACGUAGACAGCUUGAAUAUUCAAAAUUUCGAGUUCAGUCACAUCAAAAUAUAAAUAAAUGUUUUAUUAAAGAAAGUCAAUUUUAUUAAAAAUAAAUGAUGAAUACAUAUGUUUAUGUAUUUACAAAAAAAAAAAAAAAAAAAAAAAAAAAAAAAAAGAAUCAAAAUAUCGGCAAGCCCAAAUAGUGGGCUGGAAUGGAUGAAGGCCCAUUUUAACCAUCGCCAUCAUUAGCUUCGGCCUCAACACCAAGCCUGAUCUCACCAUCAAGACUGGGGCUCACCAAAGCCCACUGCUCCAUUUUGCCCUUCUCCUCUAGUGAGAUCUUCAUGCUGCUGCAUGGGCAGUUUGUCUCUCUAAAAAUUGAGCAGCCUCCUCCAUUUUUUAGAGACAUCUCUAUCCACUCCAAGCUCAAGAAGCGAAUCUCGUCUAUCCUGAAGCGUGAAAACUGUCGGCGACUUCCUGGUGUCGUUGUCACCUACAAACGGCGAGAGGCUAUUCGAUCCUAAGAAUCUCGGCCUUCUUCCUCCACACCUACCUCCUAGGGCAACCAACUUCUAUCCCCCUUGCCGUGCUCCAUCUCCUUCGUCUUUAGCUCACCCACGGUAACAUCAAGACCACCCAAUAUUGGUGCAACGGUGCAAUGGAAACAGCAGCCAAAGCAAGCCAAUACCACAGGCCACGAGUCGACCCAGGACCAGCUGCUCUUGCUCCUUUUGUAGCAGCGCCGUCAGCAGCAGCACCCCACCUACGUUCUGGUUUGAGAAGCUACCCUCUCUACCCUGAACUGUACUUUUCCGCCUUUACACUCACACACCCCAAACCUAAUUGCAUGUUAGGUCUUCAAACUGGUAUCGAUUGUCUGCGCUGAAGAUUUCUCUUCCUCAAUUCUACCGGGAAAUCUUCGAUUCGAUUUUGCUUUUUGCUUGACGGAAUCGGAGGUAGGCGGAGCUGAGAUUUAAAAUAUGGCGGCCUCCACGAGCGGUGUCUACGUCAGUGUUAUUAAGGAUGUCAUCAACAAGGUCCGCGAGGAGUUCAUGAACAACGACCCUGGGGAAGACGUUCUGAAUGAGCUUCAAGGAACUUGGGAGGCGAAGACGGUGCAGGCUGGUGUAGUAAAUAAUCCUAUAGAGAGGUCGGCGGGGCAGUGGGGUUACUCCAAUUCACGAUCUCAAUGUACCGUAUGAAGGGACCGAGGAGUAUGAAACUCCCACUGCUGAGAUGCUCUUCCCUCCAACGCCGUUGCAAACCCCAAUUCCUGCAACCCCAAUUCCAACACCUCUACCUGGAACUGGUGACAACAUGUAUAACAUCCCUACCGGAGGUAGUGAAUAUUCUGCAAAUGAGUCUGGUAGCAGCAAUGGUGGUGUCAAUGCAGAGUUGAAAGCUGGAAGAUCUGGCCCCUACAUGCAACCUCCAUCUACUUGGAUGAACCACUCGUCACACGCAAACUCAGCUUUGCGGAAAUCACGGGCAAUUUGUUAAAGCGCCGAUCCCAGAUAUCGAAGAGGCGCCAGUCUUUUUCAGUCUCGUCAGCACCCGUCACGCGCAAACUCAGCUUUGCGGAAAUCACGGGCAAUUUGUCGAAGCGCCGAUCCCAGAUAUCGAAGAGGCGCCAGUCUUUUUCAGCCUCGUCAACACCUGUCACAUGCACACUCAGCUUGACGAAAAUUUCGGACAAUUUGUCGAAGAUUUCUGAUAAAGAAGAAAGCGUGAAGCCAUACUGAUUAAUCACGCGUUGGUUGCCGACACAAGUAAAAGAAUAGUACCUCUACAGGUACUAAAGAAUUUCCUAUAACUGUCCACCUUCACCCUCCAUAGCAAGGCAGACAUACAUAACAUUUCUUUAUCUCCGAGAACCUUUCUUCAUCUCCGAGAAUGCUUUCCCAACGAAACCUCUCGAGUCAUUCAGUGUUCCUUAUUCCUUGGGGUACCUCUGCAAGCCAAUGACUCCAAAGCAAAAGUAUAUCAUAUCACCAGGGUAGAAAGCAAGAGUAUCUCAUAUCAUGCGUUAUCCCUGUCCUUUCCUUUGUCCUUGUUCUUACCUACAAAGACAAGGAUAAAGAAAACAAUAUGCCGGAACCUCCACUCAAACUCGGGUAAGGAACCGACUGCUUGGAACCCUUCCCUGAUUGCCUACCUAGCACUGCUCUCGAGUACUCGUCUCCCACUGCUGCUGUACUUCCAAAGAAGCUGCUACAUCUGCCUGAAAAACAGAUAAGGCAAGUGAAAAUGAUACCUUGCAGCAUGUGGAGACAACGUGCAGAAGAAACAAGCAGAGAAGAAUGCAGCCUGCACAGUCAACUCAGUAGAAGGAGUCUGAGUUGAAGAACUCGAGAAGAUGCUACAUUCUGCCAGAAGAAUAGAUAAGACAAGGGAAAAUGAUACAUUGAAGCAUGUGGAGACAAGCACAACAAAGCACGUGCCGAUUCAUCCGCUACUUCUUCAAAAGCAAAAGUAUCUCAUAUCAUCAUGUUUGCAAUCACUCUGGGUGGAGGACUCGUUUUGACCCUCAAAUUCUUGGGUCGACUCGCCAGGCGUUGCGGGCUGCACUUGCCAAUUCACCACCCUUGAAUCCAAACCUUAAAGAUCAAGUCACCCAUUGGAAGAAAAGCCCAUCAAUCUUGAAGAUCAUACCGCUGACCAAACUGCUCAGGUGUGAAUUAGAAAGAUUGAACAAAGCAACAAGUCGUCACCUUCACCUCGUGCAUGCUUGCCAUGUGUUCGAGUCAACCUUCAAGAAUCAAGCCUCAACGGCCCUUGAAGAAGCUUCCAGCCAAAUUCAAGAUCAAGCCUCGAUGGCCCUUGAGGAAAUCACAAGUCUGAUUCAAGAUUAAAUGUCUACCACCCUUGAAUCAAAACCUAGUUCAAGAAUAAGCUGUGGAAAAUCAACAAUUGGAGGAAUCCAGAAAAUCCUCCAACCCAGUUCAAGAUCAAAGUUGUGGAAAGUCAACAAAGCGCAAAAAAACAAAUACGUGCCGAUUCAUCCACUACCAAAGCCAAAGAUCAUCUACCACAUGAAGCUCCUUGUGGUCCAAUUUCAACCUUCAAGAUCAAGCUUCGACGGCCCUUGAAGAAAUUUCAAACAAAAGUUCAAGAACAAGCCUCAAACGGCCCUUGAAGAAAUCUCAAACAAAGUCCAAGAACAAGCCUCAACGGCCCUUGAAGAAAUCUCCAGCCCAAUUCAAGAUCAAGCCUCGACGGCCCUUGGAUCGACAUCUACAUUAAGAUACUUCAAAACGCAUCUCCUACAUGUGACAAGCACAUGUAUAUGACGCGCCUUGAAGUGGGGGCAUUUGUAGACAUCAAAAUUUCGGUAAAUAAAUGUUGACCGAUAAAUCAAAGUUUCAACGCUCAUGUAUUACAUAAAUUUUACACGUAGCGUGCGACUCAACGAAAAUUGAAAUGAGUUGGAAAAGUCAUCAAAUAGGACACGUGUCAACACCUGGCAGAAACAACUUAUUUCAUCUGGGAUAUUAUAUUCAAAAUUAGGCCUUGAAAAAUUCUAUAAAUACAAGCCCAUUUCAUUCAUUUGGGGGAACCAAAAUCAUUAGGCAAAAUUCUUGAAGCUCUGAAACUCUGAAACUCCGAAGCUCUUAAGCAUCCAGGUUCCCGAAGAAUCAAGAAAGCUCUUUUCGUUCUUCGUUCUUCGUUCUUCGUUCAUCGUUCAUCUUAAGAUCAAGCCUCAACGGCCAUUUGGAUCAACAAUCAUCCACCAAUUCAAGAUCAAGCCCCGACGGCCCUUGAAGAAAGUGUUCUUUUCGUUCUUCGUUCUUCGUUCAUCGUUCAUCCUAAGAUCAAGCCUCAACGGCCCUUUGGAUCAACAAUCAUCCACCAAUUCAAGAUCAAGCCCCGAUGGCCCUUGAAGAAAGUGUUCUUCGUUCUUCGUUCAUCGUUCUUCCAAGAUCAAGCCCCGACGGCCCUUGGAUCAUACAUCCACCAAUUCAAGAUCAAGCCCCAAAGGCCCUUGAAGAACUUCCACCAAUUCAAGAUCAAGCCCCGACGACCCUUGAAGAAAGCACAAUCGUUCAUCAUCCGUUCGUCCAAGAUCAAGCCCCAACGGCCCUUUGGAUCAACAACAUCAACGAAUCCACACAGCCACCGUUCUUCAAGAUCAAGCCCAAAAGCCUUUGAAGAUUCUUUCAUCACCGUUAUUCAAGAUCAAGCCUCAACGGCCCUUGAAGAAACACUCAUCCUCAAGAUCAAGCCCCCAACGGCUCCUUGAAGAUCCGCUCAAAUCCACCUUCAAAGAUCAAGCCCACGGCCCCUUUGAAGGAACUUUCAACAGUUCAUCCAAAAUCAAGCCUCCACGGCCCUUGGAUCAACCAAAUAUCCAUAAAUCAAAACCUUACGGAGAUCGAAUCAGAGGAUCAAAAUAGAGAGAGAUUGUAACCCAAAAUCAUCAAAUACAAAUAUUUGUUUGUGCACGUUGUUCUUGUCUCUUUCUUUCAGGAAUUUUCCGUGUUCACACAUUGUACUACUCCAAUUUUAACCAUGCAGCCCAGUUUUAAACUCAGCCCUCCAUUUGCCUCUUGGACUUAGCUUGAGAAACUAGCCGUUAACAGAACUAGCUGUUGGCUUCUUGUUUUUCUUGUUCUAGCUGGAGACUAUUUGGCUUCCAACAUCUAGCCGGUGUUAUUCGUUGUGGACAUCUUUCACCUCAUGUUUUUUUACAUGCAUAGAACAUUGACUUCACAUGAAUGAUUAACUUACGUAGGGCAAAGACAAUGCAUGUUAGAAGGAUUUAGGGAUCAGAACUAAUGUAGAAUUGGUUGCUGUUUCAUCUUUGGUUUAUGACAGGUAGGAGAAAGCAACCAUGUUUGCUAUAGUGCAGUUGCCCUGAAAUGUUGUAAUCCCUGUUGAGAGCUUAGAUAUGAAAGAAUUGAUGCCCCAAAAGUCGUUUGUACUGCACCUACUGGAGGAUCUUGCAUCGAGAAAGGCAACGAAAGAUUUGUGAUACUAUUUAGCUCUCACAACUCUGGAGAGCGUAGGAGAGGGUAAAGUGAGGCAGCACACUGGGACGUGUUGUUUCCAGUUGUUUUAGCACCAUCACCGUCAAGUUUUCUGGGGAGAGAUUGCAGAGGGGGUCGUUCACAAGUUGUUAAGCAUGGAGUUUUUGAGUUUUAUUUUUUAUUUUUUAAAUCUAGAGGCGAAUAUAAGGGAACUUUAACGAAAAGCACCCGGCACUGUUCACUUUAACGAAAAACCACAUUUUCAUACUAAAAAGUCAAUCAUGGUACUAUUCACUUUACCCUUUAUUUUGUCCUUAUCAUUAAAACUCAAAGUUUUCAAGCCAUUUUCAUUAGUUUUCCUUAUAAUUAAAGGCCAAAAGGCCAAGAAGUAAAGAGACUGAUUAUACAUGGGAAAGACCCUUCUCAAACACAAGGUCAUAAACAAUGUCUGGGCAUUUUUCAAACCAAUUACAACGAGAGUUUGUAUAAGAAUCAGUCGAAGUGAGUUUGGCACUAUUGAGUCAGGCGAUGUGUGACUUCGUUUGCAGCGGAUAUGUGCGACUUCUUUGAUUGAAAAUGAAAUCCAUGGCCCAUUGAUAAUGCGUCCGGGUAACUUUAUUUUUGGGGCAUUUUUACUUACAAGGAAUGUAAAUUGGAAUCAUUUUCAUUAUGAGUUUUCUUUCUAACAUUUCCUAUGCAUGUACUAAGACGUAAAGAAUGAAAAAAAAACUUUAGGACCUGUUUGGUAUUGGAUUUGAAUCCAUAGUUUUUAACUUAAAAAUAAUUUUUAAGUUUUAAGAUAAAAAAAACCUGUUUGGUAAGCCCAUUUUACAAAACUGGACUCAAAAAAUUUAAGAACAGCCCAUUAUAAUUUGAAAACAACAAAAGUCAGGUUUUAGGGGUUUUUUUUUUUUUUUUCAGGAAUUCAUAUCCUUGCGCCGUGAUGGAGGUCCGAGUACCUGCGCCGCGCAGACCGCGAGCAGGCCUUGCGCCUCACCAACGACGAAUGACCAAGAUAUUCCGGCCAAUAGGGUGAAGGUUCGGGUGAAUAGCUUUAAGCCUCAAAUCUCUGAGUGCUUGAUUAGGGACGAAACUGGGCCAUUCUCUUCACUGCCAAGAACGAUCAAGGUAAUGGGUCUUUCUAUUACUGUUUUGUUUGGUUCCCAUGAGGAUUGAUUUGUGAACUGAAUUUGUUGUGUUGUUUAGAGGGGCUAAGGAUUGAUGUUUAGACUAGCAUAUUAGCAAGUUAAUCUGAAAGCUCUUAUAUUUCUGGGUUUCAAGAGCUUGUUUUAGCUUUAUGAAUUUCUGGGUUUUGAUGCUUUUUUAUUGAAAAUUUGUUAACUUUUCUGGGUUAAUAUCCUUUUUCUGGGUUUAAAGAGCUUCUUUUAGACAGUGAAUUUAUGGGUUAUGUUGCUUUUAGUUUGUUAUUACAUUAUAUUUUUUUUUUGGUUUAAUUUAAGGACUUGGAUUCUCUGCCCUCCCAUUUCGGUGCCCUCUCCGUGCCCUCCUGUUUUGUGUGGUCACGGUUAAUCCAUGCUAACAUUUUAUAUUAUUUUUUAUAAAAAUAAUAAGACAAAAAAAAAAUAGUAAUAUAAAAUAUUGACGUGGCUUAACCGUGACCACACAAACAAGAGGGCACGGGGAGGGCACCGAAUUGGGAGGGCAGAGAAUCCAAGUCCUUAAUUUAAAUGUUUGGGAACUUGUGGUUCUGAAUGAAAAUGUGGGUUUGUGGUAUUUUAGUUCAAAGUCUCUACUUUGCAAGCUCUGGUUUCAAAUGCAAUCUCUGGUUUUUGAAGAGUUACUGGAGAAGAAGAGCUAAAGCUUCUUCCUUUUCAUUAAUUGUUCUCCUUUAAAAUUUUUUGGUCCAGAACAUUUAUUUUUUCCUAUUUUGCUAACCAUGAAGCUCUGUUCCCAGAUUCUCUCUUUAAGUUAUUCAUGUUUUAAUUUUCUGUAGAUCUGUUGUUCGAAUCCAUUGUUUCGUAAAUCUAUGGGUUUCAUUAAUAUAUUGGUUCUGUAAUUUACUAUAAUUUAAGAACACUUCUAAUUUCAUUUGUUUGCAUUGCUGCUUUUUAAGGAUAUUAUGUCCUAGUUUUUAAUUUGCAAAAAAAGUUAAUCAAUAAAUAUUAGGUUUUUCAUCAAACAAACAGAAAUGGGGUUCAUCUGUGCUCUGCUGGGUCCAGUAUGCCCAUAGUUAAUCAGCUAUUAACACAAAGACCCUCCUUUAAUCAUUGGCAAUUUGGCAUUGAUGCAAAGUAAAAAUUAACAAGCGGCAAUCAGACGUGGCUAAUUCUUGCUGGCCCCUUGUGUCUUAAAUCAUUUGUUUGGAACAUAGUAUAAAGGUGGGCAAAGGAGAAGGGCAAUUGAAAGGGUUGUGACAUAGCUUACUUAAUGAUACUCAAUGAAUCUUGCAGCUGCAACUUUCUUUCUCACACACACACACACACACACACACACACACACAUAUAUCUAUUAAAAUUGGUGUGAUGUUUAGAGAGGCUAAGGAUUGAUUUGUGAACUGAAUUUGUUGUGAUGUUUAGAGAGGCUAAGUAUACAUUAUAUAUUUCUAUUAAAAUUGGUUAUGUGGAGCUAUUAGAGCAUUAGGUGUUUGUGAAAAUUCCCCAUCAAGUUAGAAACAAGGAUAUGAUGCAAAUCUGAACGUGGUGUGAAAAUUCCCCAUUAAGGUUUAAUUUCAUAUGUUUUGUAUAUCUUAAAACAAAUACAUAAAUUAAAAAAAAAAAAAACUGUUUUCAAGAGUUAAAUCAAACAAGUUUUCAAAUUUUUAGAUUCAAAAAUAGUUUUUAAGUUCAAUGCCAAACACGUUUUUGAAACCUAAAAAAAACUGUUUCUAAGAGAUGUUCUUAAAAGUUAGUUUUAAGAACAAUUCAAGUUUUAAGAACAAAUCAUUAAAAUCGAUAUCUAUUUUAUUGGUCAAUAUUUCAUAAGAAUACAAUAAUGAUUUACAAAUAAAAUCGGAGUCUUCAGGCCAAGAAUAAAAGAAGAAAUGUAGAAUGAAAUCAAGACAACGACCAACAUGGGAAAAAUGGGACGACCAUGCUGCUCUGAAUCUCUCAUAGAAAGUAGAUCAAAUCUCUUAUAGGAGAUUGACUACUUCAAUUGUCCUUGACGCGCAGGUGAUCCAAGCAAGGCACCAUGUAGGCAGCGGGGCUUGCCUGAAGUUCCAUGAAUUUCUCAUAUGUCAUUCCAAUGUACUUUGCUGUUUCACCUUCCUUUUCUAGCAACUCCGGGAUCGGUAGAGUGGGCGUGUCCAGUGCCGGUCCAUGUGGCACGGCGAUCGAUAUCCUCGUCGCUGUGUUGUUCACAGUUGCUCGAUGCCAUAUGCUCUUGUACUUGUCGUUUGUCAGAAUCUGCAUUUGAUCACCAACGUUAACAAUAAAAGAGCCCGGAGCGGAAUUCACCAAGACCCACUUAUCAUUGUGCUUGACUUCAAGGCCACACAUAUCAUUCUGAAUCAAGAGCGUCACCAGCCCGUGAUCUGUAUGAGGAGGAAUACCGAUUGCCAGGUCGGGCUGCGGGCAAGCCGGGUAGUAAUUCGCUGCCAGAAUUUGCAAGCCGCGAUCCCAAUUCAUGGCCUUCGCAAUGUAAUCGGCCUCCAAUCCCAAGCUCUCUGAUAUUCCACUCAAUAUUUCGGUUGCCACUGCUCGGGUUCUUUUGCUGAACUCCAACGAAACCUCACCGUAUCCAGCCGGUUUGUAGAGGGAGUUGAACUCGGGGUGUGCGAUGACCUUGAGAUAAUCCCUCCAGAGGCGAACUUUGUCGAUUGCGACGUUGAAGCUGGUGCCGCACUUGAUUGGGUCCAGCAGGUUCCUUGUUUGGAACUCCUUCUUCUCCUCCUCCGGCAGCUCAAAAAAUCUCUGGCACGCGUCGACCAUUGCUUCCAUCAAGCUCUCUGGUACCCCGUGGUUGAUCACCUAAAAGACAUCAUGCGCAUGAAAAUAAUUAUUUCAUGUUUCAUUAUUACUAGCAUUCUUCAAUUAAUUUGCCACAUGUUCAAGCAUAUAUUAAUAACUAGUAAGUGUAUAUUACAAAAGUCAAAUAUUGAGUUUGUAUCGUAGAAUGACAAACUGUGAGUGUGAAUACCUGAAAGAAGCCCCAUUCUUGGCAAGCUCUGCCUAGCUUCUGGAUCAUUUGUGCCCUUUGAUCAGGGUAGGCAGAGGUGAGAAGAGCAAAAUCAAUGAUGGGGAUUGAAUGUUCUGGGUCGUUUGCAUCUCCCAUGUCGUUGGGAUUUUUGGUGUAGGUGUACUCGGAAGGUACAAAAGUGAGAGCAGCUGAGUCAGCUAGGGUUUUGAUGCUUGCUGCUUUGGAUUGAUUACCAUUGGAUGCCUCCGUUGAAGUCAUUGAAGGUGCCAUUGUGAGAGAGAGAGAGAGAGAGAGAGAGAGAGAGAGAGAGAGAGUAUGUUUGUCUUGAGAAUUAGGGAAUUAAUCAGUGGUGUUUGAGUAGGGCUGGACGGCUAAUAUACAGAAUGGUUUAUUUUUAUAGGCAAGAAAUCUUUAUUUUUUUCCCACGUGAAACCAAUGUUUAUAUCUAAAUUUAGUUUAAAUUCGUAGGGCAAGUGACUCGAUGAGGUCUCCAAACUCGACCAAGGCUUCCAGGCUGCCAAAUAAUAAAUCUGGUUUUCAAUUUGUAGGGCAAGAGACUCGAUAAGGUCCCCAAGCUUGACCAAAUCUUCCAGACAGUCAACCACUUGCUCGGUCUCCCUUUCACUAAGCUCUUCAGCAAGUCUUCC
rnacentral:lncRNA from 1 species